GACAGAGGGGGCAAGCGUUGCUCGGAAUCACUGGGCGUAAAGGGCGCGUAGGCGGGACGGCAAGUCGGUCGUGAAAUCCUUCGGCUCAACCGAAGAACGUCGGCCGAUACUGCCGUUCUUGAGGGAUGCAGAGGAGAUUGGAAUUCCCGGUGUAGCGGUGAAAUGUGUAGAGAUCGGGAGGAACACCGGUGGCGAAGGCGGGUCUCUGGGCAUCUCCUGACGCUGAGGCGCGAAAGCGUGGGGAGCAAACGGG
rnacentral:rRNA from 1 species